rnacentral:lncRNA from 1 species
AACAAGCCUUGGACAAGAACAGUGCUAGCACCAUGCUCGCAGCAGCGACAGGGAUGCAGUCUGGAAACUCCGGCUCCAGCAGCAAUCCGAGGAUCAACCACGUCCCUUUCCUUCAUAGCGAAGCAGCCAGUGAUCUUGGCUGAAGGUUUCAAGACCGUGCACAACGUAAAUGAGAUAAGUUGACUUAUACUUCGAAUUACUAGCCACCGUUCACUGUAACUUACAGCAAGUUUACCUUUCCCUUUAUUUUACCUUUUUGUGUUAUUAAAUUAUGAAAUAUUUUAGGGUUUUAAUCAGGCUGAUAUUGCUACAAAAUCUGGGUAGUUUGGAUUGUGAUAAGGCACGAUUAGUAAAAUUGCAUGCACUGUUUUUCACAUAGAAAUGAAGAUGAUUACUGGUUUUCCAAAAAACAUGAAAUGCUUCAAUUAAACAUUCAGAAAGAAUAAUGGACAACCAAAUUUGUACUUCAUGCCGUACCCAUCCCCAUUGUGCUCAUUCCUUAUACUAGGGUUUCAAUUUUUCCUUAGCAGUGUGAGCAAGCGCACACUAGUGCAUAAGAGUAGUGGUAAAUUAAUGUUGGGUGUUUUUUGGUUUAUCUAAGUUGUGUAUCUUUAUUUUCUUAGCCACUCCUCACCCAUGGUUGACUAUGAAACCACUAUUAUAGCUCCAUGUCCAUAUGCUGUCUCUUUUAUUGAGAUAAUUCAAAGAACUAGCCUCUAGGAUGUGAUCUCUAACUAAGUUUUGGCAUACAAAGGACCUCAUCACUAUAAAAACUUAUAAACUAUACUAUAUAUAAGUCUAUGUCAUUUAUAAUAAUUAACAUAGUGUCACCACAGCCUUAACUGUGUAACUGGAAACUUGGAGGUUGGCUCUAGAGAUUUGAUGACCAUGCAACUUCCCUUGAGGAACAAAAAACUUGCACUUUGCUGAAUUGAGUUGGAUGCUGUAAAAAUGACAUAAUUGGAAAAUGGUUUGCAGAUCCUCAAUCAAGUUGUCAGGAAGUUCCCUAAACCCUAAACUAGAAUUUGUAUUAAAUAAGAAUAAUUGGAAAUAUAAUGGAUUUUCUAAGGUAUAUAGAAAAAAUAUUUUAUGUUUAUUUCGUAUAUAAAUAUUUGAUUUGAUAAGAACUAAGAGGAGACAAUAAUUAGAAAAUGAUAAACCUCUGCCAAGAGUAGAUAUAGUUUCUAACUAAGAUGAUAACAUAGUAAGUAGAACAACUCAAAGGGUGGCUAAGAGAUUAGAAGUUUUGCUAAAGUGUGCUACAAUGUUUAAAGUUUCUUUCUUAGUAAGAUCCCACUUGUGCUUUUUAGGUAUGUGUGUUAAAUGUGUGUUUGUAGUGAACAGAUUUAAAAUUGUAGUCAUAGUGUAUGGAUCAUAGCAAAGUAAAAAUUAUGUUUUUUUAUGUUUAGUUAAUAAAGAGUUAGGUAUAUGCAAUUGUAAAUAUAUUUGAGUUCUAUUACGCAAGCAUGUUUAUGCAUUACAUAAUAUCAUAAAUAAGUUAUUUCUUGUUAUCAUCAAUCUUUAUAUGCAGAUCUACAUAGCUGAAGAAAGUCACAUCAUCUUGGAACUAAAUAUAUUUGAACUAAAUGUAGAACCAAAAGCUCUGCUGGUAUUUAUAUGGCAACUAGGUACUUAGAUGAGGUAUUGAAUCUCAAAGUAUGACUUGAGUUCCACUCCAUUUUCUGGCUUUUAAAGUAAUCUGUGCCUUAACUAUUGUGUUUAACAACAGAUUUAGGAAGAACUACACUAUUAAAGUCUAUUCCUAUAGUUAGUCGCACAGCAAUCUAGUGGUACAAAUGAUAGUCUUUUAAACUCAAAGAGUGAUCAAGUGAUUACUAUACCUCUUUGUGAACUUAUUGAGAAAGCAGUGUGAAUCAUCUGUUGCGACAAUGUUCGAGAAAAGAAAAAAAAAAAAGCGAACUUGUAUAUAAAAAAAACUCAUUUUUACAGUAAAAACUGUGUUCGUCAGCUUUUUACCUGACUCGAGACACUGAAUUCUCGCCUCACUGCAAACAAAACCACCGGUUCUCUCAAUCCCAAUCACCGAAAAACUCAAAACAAUCCAUUUUUCUCUUGUUUUCGUUUUCCACGGCAUUGUCAGUGAUGGCUGCGUCGAGCAAAGUAGUCACAGCAAGCUUCCAGAAAAGGGAAAUUCCAUUCCAUUCCUUCUGGAGACAAAGAUCUCCACAGCCAAAGUAAAACAAACAAACACUUCCGAAAUCCCCGUACGAGAAAAAGACUAGUUUCGUCCUCCAGUGAAGAAAGAGAAAAAAAGAAGAGAACGAUCGAUCCAAUCAUAGCUUCUCUUGGGAACGAACAGGAGAACUAAAAUCUCACUCCUAGAGCUCGAUCGCUCAAUCAAUCGAUCAAUCAAUCAAUCAGAGAAUGCGAGGAGAAAACCCAGAUCGAUUCGUUCCAUCAGUGACCAGUGAUCUCCUCUGCCGAUGAUCGGUGAUGGUGUUUGUCUCUACCCAUUAACCAUUGCAGCGUUCUCCUCGCAAUCGACACGGUGGUCAUUGAUGAUGUCGCAGAGCCCGUACUCUUCAUCUCCGCGUUCGUACUACACACCGACGCCUGGUCCCAACUGCAUACCGCCGCGGUACCACCGGUACCGCCAGCGGUACUACCCUGCUGCUCGUGCGAGCUUCCCCUGUUCUUCCACCACCACACCGCCGGCUGCUGCGGCUCCUCGUGCUGCUGCUGCCCUUGAUCCACAUUCAGCCGGAACGAGAAGGAUUUCACCUUGUCCGAAUCGAAGCUCUUAUCGCCUACGCUGCUGGGCGCCUUGGAGUUCCUCCUCCACGGCGCCCAGCUCAGGAACGAUGACGCCCGCGACGUACCGCCGGCCGCUAGCAUUGGUCGCGGAUCAAUGUCGAUGGUGACCCACGGACUGCCGCCCUCGCGCUCGGGUAUACACUCGGACAGUGCCGCGCGGUGCCCGGGCGUACCGCGCGGCGGCGGCGGCCACUUUCUGUGCAUGGGCGUCGGCGCAAUCACCACCAGUGCGACUUGCUGCUGCUCUCCUCCUCCCGCGCCGCCAGUGGAUGGAUCCAGGACGUAUUCGUAGGAUCCCAUGGAGUAGGAUCGCCGGCUCAGCGCCGCGGUCUCGGAGGGCGCUGCCGAUUCUUCUCCCGAGUUUGCUGCCGCUGGGCAGAAGCGCCCGAGCUUGACUGGCACCACUCGCAGCGAUUCCUGGCGGCCGCCCGCGAGAUCUAGCGAUCCUCCCACGCCUCCCUCCUCGGCCAUGGAGGACUCGGCCCCAAAGCUGGCGGCGCUGACGCUGCUACUGGCGCCGAAGGACUCGACCCUCAUACCGCCCAGUACCGCCGCGGUACAGCCUGAGCUGGAGGCGUCGGGCACGAGGCUGCAGCGGCACAGCGGGCAAGUGGAGUGGGACAGCAGCCAAGUGUCGAUGCAUUCGAUGUGGAAGGCGUGGCUGCACUUGGGGAGGAGGCGCAAACGAUCGUCGCCGGAAAACUCGUUGAGGCAUACCGCGCAGUCCGCCCCCUCCUUGAGGCCGCGUACCGCGCGGUACAGGAAGACGGGCAGCGCGUCGAUGAAUGCCUGCUCUACGCCCGAGUCGUGGAGGUGGAAGAGGUGCUGGAGCUGGCCCUGGAGCGAGUUGAGCGACCCACUGCUGUUGUUCCGCCGCGAGAGGCCAUUGUUGGUGGAUGCCGAUGGGCGAGCGAAGCAGCGCGCGAGGAGAUGGAGGAAUCCCGAGAGGAAGAACACCACCGUGAUGAGAACGAUGAUGACGACGACACUGGGGCUGAGCUGCGGCGUGCCGCUGGCGGCGCCGGCGGUACCGCCCGCGGUACCCGCGCCGGAAGGGCUGCUCGUCUCUGGAUCGAGGUCCCGGAUGCUGAAGGAGAGUGGCAUGACUGGCGACGCAUGAAUCGACCCAGAUGGGCGAAUCGAGAGAGGAGACUACCCAACAGCGCGAUUCCAGUGAAGAUCACAGCUUCUCACCGGCAUUUCGAUCUUCUGGAGCGAAUUCCCCCCUUUUCCAUCCUACCCAGUGGGGAGAAACCAAUCAAGCUAGCGUAGAUCUAUCCCAGCCUACCAAUGUCGAUCGGAUCGAUCUAGCGCGUGCUCCUCCUGGGAAUUCUGGUUGCGGCAUUGCGAUCCAUCCAAUCCAGUGAUGCAUUCAACCCAGCUGCUGGCUGGAAUCUCUGGCCACAGUAGGUGGGUUUGUUGUAGAACAUUCAUUGCCCUCCCCUGCAAAUCUGGAAACAAACAAAAAGAAAUUUCUUCCUGUGAGAGGGCAAAAAUCUCUCCUUCACUCCUCCAUCGCCCUCUCUCAAUCUCGCUCGCUCGCUCGCUCGAAUUGACCAGUAGGAGAAAGAACGAGACGAGAGAGAGAGAAAGCUUUAAUUCGAGCAGAGCAUGCGAUUUUAGGGCAGGGCUCCCACGUCGUCGUGGAGUUCGACGUGGCGCGCGGUGGAUGCCACGUGGCGGGUUUGGCGGGCAGUCGUGUCACUGCAAUUCAAAAAAACAGGAGGGUGCUUUCAGUUCAGACAUGAAGAGCAUUCAAUGCAAACGCUGCCUUUCCCAAAAAAUCAUAAAAUAAAGAUUUAAAAGCAACGUUUUGUUUGAUCGUUGGUGAGUACCUAAGUUGUCAAAUCCUUGCUUAGAAUCUGGGAAUUUAUUUUGAUGACAUGAGCAAAAAUUCGGAGCUCAAUCUUCCCAAGACUUUUCCAAAUGCCAGAGUGAGGUGAUCAUUGGAUACCCAAAGCAAUUUUACUAGUACUACGGUAGAAAUUAAGAACCGAGGUUUUUUCUGUUUAUUCCCACAAGUUCCUCGUUUCUUGCCCUUUGUUCGCAACGCUAGACAAGGAGUGAUUUUUGGAGGGAAGUUUGCAACUCCAAGCCACUUGAUUGAUUUAACCAGACAAGAACUAUCUCUUUGCUUAGAAUAUGGUCAUCUUUGCCUUAACGAAUAUUCCUAGAAUAUCCAGCUAUAGUUUAGGAACAAAAUUUCAUACUUUAAUUCUUUUAUAAUCCUGUUUUAUACUAAUUUACAAGAAUUAUAUACCUCAAUUUUAUUUCAUGCUUCUACACCAUACCACGAUUUAUAGCCCCAAAAGUAUAUAUGGUUUCCAUAGAGAUUUUAGAAAAACUAAAGGUGAAAAGGAUAUAUCACAAAUAUCCAAGUCUAUACCUCAAUCUAAUUAUUGAUUUUCUUAGUUAGUUAGAUAACCACCUAAUAAACACCAAAAGCCAUUCCGGUUAUUAAGUGGUUAUUCCAUUUUUCCCUGAAAAUGGCAGGUAGGCAGCAGAUUUCUCCAUUAUACAUGGUAGGUUUUAAUUUGUAUACCUAAGAAAGUUUUAAGAUAACUGAGCAAAAUGCCUAAUUAAGUAAAUAAGGAGAGCCCUAGUUUUAGUGAGAAUAUUACUAUCAAAUCAAUGUAAAAUACUUCUCUAUAGUUAUUUGUAUUGAAUAAUUUCUCUCAAAUAUUCCCAGAAAACUCUAUGCCUAUGAUAAUAUAAAUUUUAUUCUAAUUAUAUAAUAUAAAAUAUACAACUUAUUUAUAAUGCUAAAUUUAUAGCUUGUAUUAAUUAAAAUCUUGUUUUUUUUUUCAUUUGUGCAACUUCUUUUGUUCAUAUUAUUAAGGACAGAAUGUAAAUAUUCUUGAUAGUUCUUAGGGUAAUCAUUCAAAAGUGACAUGAUAGUUUUAAGAAGAAUCAUUUAUAUUAAUUAUGUAAUUACAUUAGUAUUUAAAGAUAAUUAGGUUACUUUAUAAUGUAUUAUCUAUUCUCAUUUUAUUUCUUACUUAUGGCUGGGAAAAAUGUUCUAUAUAUGAUGAGUUUACUUUUUCUUUUUAUAUUAACUUUUAUUUUUAUAGCUAAAAGUGCACCACUAAAAACAUGUGGUGAACAUUGUGAAACAGAUGAUGAAUGCAAGGAUCAAAUUGCAUGUGUUGAUAAAAUUUGCCAAGAUGAUCCAGAUAUGGAUACUAAUCCUUGUCCAAAUAUAGGUAAGAAAAUUUCACCACCUCCAUUUGAUACUUUAUCUCCUCCUGAUGAGGAUUUAACUCCUCCCAAUUUUAAAUAAAUGUAAUGCUAAGAACCUUACCAAAUAAAAUAAAAUAAAAUAAAAAUUAUGUUAUUCAAGUUAGUGUAUUGAUUAAUGCAUGUUGCUUUAGUCAAUUUAUAUCAGAUAACUUUUAAAAAAUUCAAGGAAUUUAAAAUUGAUUAUUUUGUGAAUUUUUUUUUUAAAAUGUGUUAAAUUAUAAUUUAUUCCUAAUAAUAGUAAUUUGUUAGCUAAUUUAAGUUUUAGGUAUAUCUUGAAUAUAUUCAAAAACACCUCAAUCUAACAAUUGUGAUUUUUCCACUAUGAAACCUUCUCUAAUUCAUUGAUAAUCACUUAGUUAAUAAUAUUAUAAUUAUUUUUUAAAUUUCCUCUCAAUUCUCAAUUUAGGACCAACCACCCUUCUGAUCUUAUAAAUUUAGCAAACUCUAAAAGUUUAUUAUGUUAGUUUCAUAUAUUAGUUCUUUGUUAGCUAUAGUUUUAUUAAUUUUAAUACAAGUUUUUAUAAUAAGAAAUUUUGUUAUGGGAAUAGCAAUAUUAAUUAGGGUUAGACCCCUUAUCAUAUACAUGAACCAAAUUUAGUUUAAAUGAAUAAUUUGUGAGACACAAAUCCCUAAGCCCUAAAGUGGAGCAGAAAAAGCACCAUAUUUUAGUAGUCAAAGCAAAAGUCUAAUAAAUGUAAUAUGUUUAGACCAAAGGCUCUAACUUAAAAAGUUGAGAAUAGAAGUGAAAUCCCAAAAUAAGUGCCCAAGGAAUGAGCUUCUAAAAAGGGACACAAGAAGGACUAACACAUGGCAAGUGUCAUGAUACAUGGAAAUGUCAAAAACAAAGAGUCCGAAAAGGAAUCCAAGAUACAGUGCAAAAAAGAGUUCAAGAUGGAGUCCAAAAAGGAAUUUGAGAUGGAGUUUGAGAAAGAGUUUGAGAUGGAGUUCGAUAUAAACCCCAGAUGGAGUUUGAUAUGGACUUAGAGUCCGAGACCAAGUCUGAGUUCGAGUUCGAGUCGAGUCUGAGUCCAAAGGGUGAAAGCCUAAAGUGAUUGUCUCCCAAACCCUAGUGUGGCGAAUUUGACUUCAGGUAUCAAAAGUUACCUGUUGGCCAAUCCUUAUGGACACUCUUUUCUUACUGCCAUGACAGUAGGAGGUAAGUAUUGCUAGACCCUUUAUCAGUCCCUCUUGUGCUAGUGGAGUUAAGUGGGCAUUUCGAGUGUACUUAGACCGGACGAGCAUAAGGACAGAAUUCCUACGUGCUAUUAGCUAAACACAUUUAGCCCGAUAAGGAGUUUCUGUCUCAUUGUGUCUUGCACUGGCUAGUGAUAAUAACCCUCCUAUAUUGAGACUAGUCCCUCAAUAUUGCUGGAUAAUAGCUUACUAUGUCUGCCAAACACCCUUACUAUUAUGCCCUUUGUGUUAGUUUUAUUUCGGUCCUAAAUUCUAUUUGUGGAAAGUGUCCAGAUUUGCUCAUUUGGCAUAUCUACAGAAUGUAAAGAUUGUCUUGAACACAAUGGUGUUCAUCCCGUGUCCAAAUUCACAAUCUAAGGAUAUUCCAUAUUUAGUAAAUUUCAAGCUUGUCCCAGAGACUAACUCCUAAUACUAAGGGAUGCUUGAAGUGAAAGCCCAAAGCGUGUGUUCCUCAAGGGGGGGGGGGGAUGUGGGAUAGUAGGGAUAGUGGGUAGGUCAGGCAUGCCUGACCAAUUGAAGGCAUAGUCUAGUUCCCAUUUGUGUGCUUGUCCUUGUUCUAUGUCCGACUUGGGCCUAAGCCCAAGUUCCAUUCCAUACUAGCUGGUGGAGUACCCAUGUCCUUGCAUUAGGCCAGAGAUAUGCCGAAAUAGCGCCAGACUCCGUUUGGCUUCGUUUGGUUAUCAAAAUUGGGGAAGUAAUUCUCAAGUGUUCAAAAAAAUGGCUUUGAACAAAAGUUAAUGGUUGAGGACUUACAUGCUUAUGCAUUAAACCAUAUUACGCUCGUCAGGUGACUUGCUAAGCGAGAUUAACAAGUCAGGGGAGCAAAGACUUUAGUUAAAGGUAUUGGCUCCAAAAGGGAUGGCCCAUGGGGCUAAAUAUACAUGAUCAUAGACUUGUUAAAUGAGAGGAUUUGGCAGUUUGAAGAAACUAAGUUCCUAAACUAUGAUCUAUAGUGCACAUUAAGUAUAAAUUGGUGCAUUGGCGUAAGGAGUCACGCCAAACAUUCUUAGUGAUACUACUUGUAGAUGCAUAUACGAAAGUUGGGUUUGAGUCAUAACUUUGUAAUGCUUGGGUUUGAGUCCCAACUCACUAAGGGCAUGGUGAUGGUUUGAAAUAUGAAGACACUUAUUUUUUAGUGGUUAUAGACUCUCAAUAAGGAGAUUGGUUUGAGCACACUACCAAGUGGGGGAUGCCUUGAAGUCGUGAUGCACAGUUAAAUUGUUUAGUGUGAAAGCUUGGCAUAUCUAACUUGAAUAACUUUGGUGCAAGUGGCAUCAAGGACAUAGAUGAAAUAAAGACACCCAAUCUCAGUUGUCAUGGACCCUUAGCCAAAAGGGUUGGCUUGGGUGCAUUGCUAAGUGUGGGGGAUGCCCCUAGGGUCAUGGUUAACAACUUAAAAGUUUGGAAAACGUAAUAUUGAUUAGCAAAUCUAUUAAAGUGUUAAGAUGAGAUCACUAAGUGAUUUUAUGGUUAAACAAGGAUAAAGCCCUUGUGACAUUAAGGAAUAAUGUUCCUAGUUCAAAUUAUUGAUUUAAACUAUUGGUAAUAAUAUAACUUGGUCAAGGUGACCAAGUGGAAAGGACACCUAAGAGAAAUGAGUUAUAGCAAUACAAUAGUAUUGUGAGUCCAAGAAAAUAGUCUCUAAAGAAAGACCUAUACAUAAGUCGCAAAAUUGGCCCGUGGAUAGAGCCCACAACAGAUAAUGCUGGAAAAAAUUACUAAGGGUGAACACCUUUUGGACUUAGUGAAACAAAGCUUUUACUACGAAACCAAAAAGAUAUCACGAAUAUGGAAGUAGUGAUCCUAAAUUGUUUAGUACAAUAAUCAAAGGAUAGUAGUAAAAGACUAAUCACCAAGAAUGGGUUAUGGAAAUUAUUAAAAGGAAUCCAAAUAACAAAGUUAUGUCAAGAACACUCAUGUGUUAGAUGCUAACAGAUUAUGGAAAAUGAAAUAUGUUUUUGAAAAUAAAUUCCCAAAUGCUCCAAUUUGGCAAACGUGAAAGCUCCAAAAGAUGGAGUGGCAAAAUAGCCAAAUGAUAAAGCCAUGAAUAACAUUAUAAGUGGAAUUUAGUGCCAAGGGUGGCACGAAAUAAAAGUAUUAGUGUGACCAACACGUGGUGGGUGAUGAUAUAACCACUAAGGAGUCCAAGGCUAAAGUCAAUACGGAUGGACAAAUGGGGUAACUUGGUGGUGGAGCCAUGUGGCGGGUUUGGCAGGUAGUCGUGUCACUACAAUUCAAAAAAACAGGAGGGUGCUUUCAGUUCAGACAUGAAGAGCAUUCAAUGCAAACGCUGCCUUUCCCAAAAAAUUAUAAAAUAAAGAUUUAAAAGCAACGUUUUGUUUGAUCGUUGGUGAGUACCUAAGUUGUCAAAUCCUUGCUUAGAAUCUGGGAAUUUAUUUUGAUGACAUGAGCAAAAUUCAGAGCUCAAUCUUCCCAAGACUUUUCCAAAUGCCAGAGUGAGGUGAUCAUUGGAUACACAAAGCAAUUUUACUAGUACUAUAGGUUACGGUAGAAAUUAAGAACUGAGGUAUUUUCUGUUUAUUCCCACAAGUUCCUCGUUUCUUGCCCUUUGUUCACAACGCUCCAGACAAGGAGUGAUUUUUGGAGGGAAGUUUGCAACUUCAAGCUAACCAGACAAGAACUAUCUCAUAUGGUCACUUUGCCUUAACGAAUAUUCCUAGAAUAUUCAGUUAUAUUUUAGGAACAAAAUUUUAUACUUUAAUUCUUUUAUAAUCCUGGUCUACUUAGAAUUAUAUACCUCAAUCUUAUUUCAUGCUUCUACACCAUACCUAAAAGUAUACAUGGUUUUUAGAAAAACUAAAGGUGAAAAGAAUAUAUCACGAAUAUCCAAGUAUAUCCUAUACCUCAAUCUAAUGAUUGAUUUUCUUAUUAGUUAUUUAGAUAACCACCUAAUAAACACCAAAAACCAUUCCGGUGAUUAAGUGGUUAUUCCAUUUUUCCCUGAAAAUGGCAGGUAGGCAGCACAUUUCUCCAUUAUACAUGUCAGGUUUUAAUUUGUAUACCUAAGAAAGUUCAAAAUGCCUAAUUAAGUAAAUAAGGAGAGCCCUAGUUUUAGUAAGAAUAUUACUAUCAAAUCAAAGUAAAAUACUUCUCUAUAGUUCUUUGUAUUGAAUAAUUUCUUUCAAAUAUUCCCAGAAAACUCUAUGCCUAUGAUAAUAUAAAAUUUAUUCUAAUUAUAUAAUAUAAAAUAUACAACUUGUUUAUAAUGCUAAAUGUAUAGCUUGUACUAAUUAAUAUCUUUUUUUUAUUUGUGCAACUUCUUUUGUUCAUAUUAUUAAGGACAGAAUGUAAAUAUUCUUGAUAGUUCUUAGGGUAAUCAUUCAAAAGUUACAUGAUAGUUUUAAGAAGAAUCAUUUAUAUUGAUUAUGUAAUUACUUUCGUAUUUAAAGACAAUUAGGUUACUUUAUAGUAUAUUAUCUAUUCUCAUUUUAUUUCUUACUUAUGGCUAGAAAAAAUGUUCUAUAUAUUAUGACUUUACUUUUUCUUUUUAUAUUAACUUUUAUUUUUAUAGCUAAAAGUGCACCACUAAAAACAUGUGGUGAACAUUGUGAAACAGAUGAUGAAUGCAAGGAUCAAAUUGCAUGUGUUGAUAAAAUUUGCCAAGAUGAUCCAGAUAUGGAUACUAAUCCUUGUCCAAAUAUAGGUAAGAAAAUUUCACCACCUCCAUUUGAUACUUUAUCUCCUCCUGAUGAGGAUUUAACUCCUCCCAAUUUUAAAUAAAUGUAAUGCUAAGAACCUUACCAAAUAAAAUAAAAUAAAAUAAAAAUUAUGUUAUUCAAGUUAGUGUAUUGAUUAAUGCAUGUUGCUUUAGUCAAUUUAUAUCAGAUAACUUUUAAAAAAUUCAAGGAAUUUAAAAUUGAUUAUUUUGUGAAAUUUUCUUUUAAAAUGUACCAAAUUAUAAUUCAAUCCUAAUAAUAAUAAUUUUUUAGCUAAUUUAAAAUUUUGGUAUAUCUUGAAUAUUUUAAAAAACACUUCAAUCUAAAAAUUGUGAAUUUUCCACUAUUAAACCUUCUCUAAUUCAUUGAUAAUCACUUAGUUAAUAAUAUUUCAAAUUUUUUCAAAUUUCCUCUCAAUUCUCAAUUUAGGACCAACCACCCUUCUGACCUUAUGAAUUUACCAAACUCUAAAAGUUUAUUACAUUAGUUUCAUAUAUUAGUUUUUUUUUAGCUAUAGUUUUAUUAAUUUUAAUACAAGUUUUAGUAACUCAGGAUAAGCAAAGCCUUGGAAGCUAGCCUCAAACGAUACCAUGCCUACAAGAGUGCCAAGAGCAGCGAAGACUAGACCAUAGCAAUCCUGGAGAAUGCAUUUCUGACCUAGUUUUUGGGACAGAAAGCACCAUUGAAAUAAGCUGUAAUCAUAGGAGUGUCCUCUUCUCAUAUACAAGAAUGGAUGAACUAAAUUUCAUUUAAAUGAAUAACCUGUGAGACAAAAAUCCUUAAGCCCCAAAGUGGAGAAAAAAAGUACCAUAUGGUAGUGGUCGAAGUGAAAGUCUAAUAAACAUAACAUAUUUGGACUAAAGGCUCUGAUUUGAAAAAUCAAGAGUAAGAAUGCAACUCUAGAAAAAGUGCUUGAGGAAUGAGUAUGAAAUAAUUGGUGAAUGAGUAUCUAAAAAAGGACAUAAGGAGGAUUGACAUAUGGCAAGUGUCAUAAUGCAUGGAAGUGUAAAAAAUGAGUUUGAAAAGGAGUCUGAGAAAGAAUCUGAGAUAAAGUCCAAAAAGGAGUACAAAAUGGAGUCUAAGAAAGAAUUUGAGAUGGAGUUCAAGAAGGAGUUUGAGAUAGAGUCCAAUAUAGACCCGAGAUAGAGUCUGAUAUGGACCUGAGAUGGAGUCUAAUAUGGACCCGAGAUGGACCCGAGAUGGAGUCUAAUAUAGAUCCGAGAUGGACCCGAGAUGAAGUUUAAUAUGGAUCCGAGAUGGACCCAAGAUGGAGUUUAAGAUGGAGUUCAAGAUGGAUCUUAUGAGAUGGACUCGAGAUGGAAUUUGAGAUGCACUGGAGAUGGAGUUUGAGGUCAAGUCCAAGAUGGACCUUAAAUGGAGUCUAAGGUUGAGGCCAAGAAAGAGACUGAGACUGAGAUUGAGAUUGAAACCAAGACCAAGAUCGAGACCGAGUUCGAGACCAAGUUCAAGAAUAAGUCUGAGUUCGAGUCUGAGUCUAAGUCUGAGCUCGAGGGUGAAAGCCCAAAGCGAUUGUCUCCUAGACCCUGAGGGGUUUGGUGAGCUCCAAAAGUAUAAUAAGGGGAUAACUCUAAUAGAGUCAAUUUAGCCAGGAAAGGCUAAUGGGUGAUAAUAUAACCAUUAAGGAGUCAAAUAAAGAUGGACAAAUGGGGUAAUUUGGUAAAGUGUUUAAGAGCUGGCUCUAGCUCUUCCAAAAGAUCAAAUGGUCAAUGCUCUAAUCCAAGUGUGAGUGGCACUACCUAUUUAGAUACUUGGUGUGGCUCAUCAGAACUUUAUUCUAGCCACAUGGAUAGGGCACCCAAAGGCACAAGAUGGAGAGAGUACUCACAAGGCUCGUGUAAGAGCAUAGUGUUUUAAAAUGUUAUCCUAAAGUUCUACAUUGUGGAAAGGAAGAGGAGCAAUCUUCUUGUGUAGUAACCAAGGAUGCAAUCAUAUGGCAAGUAAAUCCCAAAGGUUAAUAAGAUGUAGUGGUUGGCCGUCAGGCCCUAACACAGUAGUAAUGUUGGUGAACACGGCCAAGGACGAAGAAAAACUUGGUGUGGAUUGAAAAAGGAAUGUUGGGGAAAGUUGUUCCUCAUGUUUCUAGCCAUCCUAAGGAUGUUAAGAAGUGGUUCUAGGAUGACCAUUUAUGGAUGGAUGGCUUAAUGUUUGAGAGACAGGACUAUGGCAUAAGUGGCCUAGAACUACUAAUGAGACAAAGAUAAAUGGACAUGGCUUUAGUAUAACAUACUGGUAUAUCAAAAGUACCUUUGGUGUAUUGAUCAUGGGAUCAAAUACGUAGAGUACUUAAAUCAAGUGCAAAGACUGAGUCUCGAAGUUUGGCAUAUGACUUAUGGAGGUUGUGAGUGAGACUCCUCCAAAUGGUCGAAAGUGUAGUUAAAAAUUUAAAGUAAAGUGAAAAAUUUAGUUAUUUACAAUUUGAUAUCAAAGUUAUUCUUUAGUCUGACUCUUAUUAGUGGUUGAGUAUAUCACCACUCAUAUUGGCAUCGGAAGGCCUUAAGAGUGGGCCUAUUCUCAAAGAGUAGCAUGUCAAAAUGGCAUGACUCUCUACUUUAGUGUAUAUGCAAACAUGUAGGAUGUGAUGGAUAAAAAAAGCUCAAUAAGGGAAUGAUUUUGGGAUCUUGGGAACAAUAUAAAAUUUUCCUCAGAGAGUUAAGGAUGUGAUCCAGAUGAGUGUUUGACUUAACAAACUGGCUAACGUGGUUGUGAUAAAUAACUAUAAUUGAGAUCAUGGGAAGGAUGAAAACUUCGAGACAAUAAAGGAGUUGUAAGAUUAUCCUCAUGAAUUUGAGAUGAAAAUUAAUAACUAUGGGAAAUUAAAUACAAAAGAGGAACACAGGUCCUUGAAAUGAUAGUUGGGAUUACUUUUAAUAAAUGAUGGAAUAACCCAAGGAGUUAAGGGUGUACUUAGAGGAUGAAUCGGUAUUCUUAUCAUAUGGACAGAUAGUCCUAAAGGGCAAAUGUUGCCUAUAUGGAACAAAGAAUAAUUAAAUGUUAGAGUAACACUUGCAAAGAUGAUCUUUAUGAGUAAAACAUAAAUACAAGAAGUUGUAUUCUAGCGAGUUGGCAUAUCAAAAGUAGUUAUGAGGUUAAGACUUUAUGGGUUAUCAAAUUAAUAAAGUUUAAAAGAUAAAUGACUCAAGUGAAGUCAAGGAAUAGUCUUAAAGGAUUGGUGGAAAAAUUUGGAUUAAAGUGUAUUGUACCCUACAAAGGAUAGGGAGGAUCAUGAGAUCCAAGUAUGAAAACAAUAUGUAUUUCAUUAAUGCUAGAAUAUGCUAUAUUAAAGUCAUGGGAAAGGUGUUUUUGGAAAAAAAUAACUUUGGCACAGAGUUAUAUAUAAACACUAUAAAGCAAUGCUAACUAGUAGUUGGUAUAAAAAAUGACUAGUUUGAUUUUGAUAAGACCUAGACACAAGUGGAAAGUGUUAUUAAAAUAGGAUUAAAAAGCCAAUAGGGUGAAGACCCCAAAUGUCCCAAAGGAUAAUUUACCCCUUGUUAAAGUAACCCUAAUGAAAACAAUACCCUAGAUAUGGUAGAAUUCAUAUAUUUGUACUAAGUCUUGGUAGAAGUGUAGAAGUAUCAACAAUGAGUUGUAAAAUAUAAUACUUAUGAAGCAAUUAAACAAAGGUUAAAAAUGAUUUGCUGGAAUAGUGGGAGCUAACUUCUAGAGACUUCUUGGUUAGAUAAAAACGAGGUUAGAUACAUUCUUUAAGGGAUAGUAUGCUUAUGUUGCGAUAUAGUGAGUUUGUAUCAAUAAGAAACAUUUAUUGUUAGGAAAUUUUAUCAUGAAAACAUAUAAUCAUUUUAAAAACACUAAAGAGGUGACGUUUGGGUAUUAAAGGGGCAUUAGAUAAGACCCAAAAGAUGAAGUCUCUAAAAAAGAAUGGAUAUAAACUACUAUCUAAUAUCCAAGGUUGACAAAAGUUAAAGACAAGAUAAGUUUAACUAUCCAAAGUGGAUCAAACCAAAAGAAUUUUUGCAUGGCUAGCAAUGAGCAUAAAGAAGCCUAUGUAUAACAACAUUAAUCUUGAUGUGUAGGAUUAUAUAGUAAACAUAUCCAAAUUAAAGAACCACUCCCUAAAUCAUUAAGUAAGUUCAUCCUUAAAAAUAGUUGCUAAUGCAUGGUUGAAAGGGCAAAGCUACCCUUCUAAUUAGGAAGAGAAUAAUUAAAGGGAACAUAUAAAGCCAAAAUCAAGUAGUAAAGGGAUAGAAUUGAACCAUAAAAAUCAAAGAGUAUAACCAAGGGUAAUUAUAUAAGUUGGGAGUGGAAAAUCAAGUGGUGCUCAAAAGUGUUGCUAUUGGCAACUAUAAUGCUAUAAAGACUCUAAAGUAUAAAAUUGUUAAUGUUAGACUAUAUGGCAAUUAAAAGGCAUGUAAAAAGAAAGGUAUUAGCAAAAUAAAGAACAGAGUCCUUUUGAGGUUCUCAAAGACAAUUUUAGGUAUGUUAAUACUUAGAAAAAUAAAUAUAAAUGUUUUAUAAAAAUGGGUGAAAUCAAAUUGGUAUAGCAAAAACGUGGUAUUGAAGCUUGCCAUGAGAUGAGGUUAUCAAAAUUGGGGAAGUAAUUCUCAAGUGUUCAAAAAAAUGGCUUUGAACAAAAGUUAAUGGUUGAGGACUUACAUGCUUAUGCAUUAAACCAUAUUACGCUGGUCAGGUGGCUUGUUAAGCGAGAUUAACAAGUCAGGUGAGCAAAGACUUUAGUUAAAGGUAUUGACUCCAAAAGGGAUGGCCCAUGGGGCUAAAUAUGCAUGAUCAUAGACUUGUUAAAUGAGAGGAUUUGGCAGUUUGAAGAAACUAAGUUUCUAAACUAUGAUUUGUAGUGCACAUUAAGUAUAAAUUGGUGCACUGGCGUAAGGAGUCACGCCAAACAUUCUUAGUGAUAUUACUUGUAGAUGCAUAUACGAAGGUUGGGUUUGAGUCGUAACUUUGUAAUGCUUGGGUUUGAAUCCCAACUCACUAAGGGCAUGGUGAUGGUUUGAAAUAUGAAGACACUUAUUUUUCAGUGGUUAUAGACUCUCAAUAAGGAGAUUGGUUUGAGCACACUACCAAGUGGGGGAUGCCUUGAAGUCGUGAUGCACAAUUAAAUUGUUUAGUGUGAAAGCUUGGCAUAUCUAACUUGAAUAACUUUAGUAUAAGUGGUAUCAAGGACAUAGAUGAAAUAGAGACACCCAAUCUCAGUUGUCAUGGACCCUUAGCCAAAAGGGUUGGCUUGGGUGCAUUGCCAAGUGUGGGGGAUGCCCCUAGGGUCAUGGUUAACAACUUAAAAGUUUGGAAACUGUAAUAUUGAUUAGCAAAUCUAUUAAAGUGUUAAGAUGAGAUCACUAAGUGAUUUUAUGGUUAAACAAAGAUAAAGCCCUUGUGAUAUUAAUGAAUAAGGUUCCUAGUUCAAAUUAUUGAUUUAAACUAUAAUAAUAUAACUUGGUCAAGGUGACCAAGUGGAAAGGACACCUAAGAGAAAUGAGUUAUAGCAAUACAAUAGUGUUGUGAGUCCAAGAAAAUAGUCUCUAAAGAAAGACCUAUACAUGAGUCGCAAAAUUGGCCCGUGGAUAGAGCCCACAACAGAUAAUGCUGGAAAGAAUUACUAAGGGUGAACACCUUUUGGAUUUAGUGAAACAGAGCUUUUACUACGAAACCAAAAAGAUAUCACGAAUAUGGAAGUAGUGAUCCUAAAUUAUUUAGUACAAUAAUCAAAGGAUAGGAGUAAAAGACUAAUCACCAAGAAUGGGCUAUGGAAAUUAUUAAAAGGAAUCCAAAUAACAAAGUUAUGUCAAGAACACUCAUGUGUUGGAUGCUAACAGAUUAUGGAAAAUGAAAUAUGUUUUUGAAAAUAAAUUCCCAAAUGCUCCAAUUUGGCAAACGUGAAAACUCCAAAAGAUGGAGUGGCAAAAUAACCAAAUGAUAAAGCCAUGAAUAACAUUAGCAUGAAUUAUAGAUAAGUGGAAUUUAGUUCCAAGGGUGGCACGAAAUAAAAGUAUUAGUGUGACCAACACAUGGUGGGUGAUGAUAUAACCACUAAGGAGUCCAAGGCUAAAGUCAAUACAGAUGGACAAAUGGGGUAACUUGGUGAAGUGUUUAAGAAUCAACUCUAGCUCCCCUGGAAGAUCAAAUGGUCAAUGUUCCUAAUCUAAAUGUGAGUGGCACUACCUACUUGGAUACAUAAUAUGGCUCAUUGGAACCUCACUUUAACCACAUAGUUAGGGCACCCAAAGGCGGAAGGUAAGGAGAGUACCACAAGGUUUAUAUAGAGCUAUGGUGUUUCGAAAUAUUGUCCCAAAAUCUUAGACUAUAGAAAAGGAGAGGAGUAAUCCUCUUAUGUAGUAACCAAGGAUGCAAUUAUAUGGCAAAGAAGUCUUAGAGGUUAAUGGGAUGUAGUGGUUGGGCAUUUAAGCCCUAACCCAAUGGUAGUGUUGGCAAACAUAGUUAGGGACAAAAAGAGAUUUGGUGGGGAUUGAAAAAGAGAUGUUGGGGAAAGUUGUUCCCCAUGUCUUUGGGCAUCUUAAGGAUACUAAAGAGUAAUUUUAAAAUGACCACUCAUAGACGAAUGGUUUAGUCUUUAAGAGAUGGGACUAUGGCACAGAUGAUCUAAAACUACCAAUAAGACAGGGUAAAUGGACAUAGUUUUAGUAUAACAUGCUGAUAUAUUAGUAGUACCUUUGGGGUGUCAAUCAUAAGAUUGAAUACGUGAAGUAUUUGGACCAAAUUGUCGCAAAUGUGACUUCGGGUAUCGAAAGUUACUUGUCGACCAGUCCUUAUAGACACUCUUUCCUUACUGCCACGAUGGCAGGAGGUUGGUAUUGCUAGACCCUUUAUCAGCCCCUCUUGUUCAAGUGUUAGUAAACUGGACUUAGCAUCUGUACUUGGCCGGAUGAGCAUAAGGACGGAAUUCCUAAGUGUCUAUUUGGCCAAGCAUACUUGGCCCGGCUUUUUAGUUCUCUUUUGCUCUGUCUUGCACUGGCUUGACAAGAACCCUCGCAUAUUGAGAUUGGUCCCUCAAUAUCGCUGGAUGAUAGCUUACCGUGUUUGCCAAACACCCUCGCUAUCAUGCCCUUUGUGUUAGUCUCAAUUCGUCCCAGAUGCUAUUUAUGGAAAGUGUCCAGAUUUGCUCAUUUGGCAUAUCUACAGAAUGUAGAGAUCGGCCUGAACACAAUGGUGUUCGUCCCGUGUUCAAAUUCGCAAUCUAAGGACAUUCCACAUUCAAGACAUGCUCAGAGCUAUUGACUAAAUGCAUUAGUGAGCUUAUUGCAGUUGAGUUGGAUUCGAGUGGUCAUUUAGUUUGUGCUUGUCUAUGAACUUUUAUCUCGUACCUGAGGUAUUACGUUCAUAUUGGAUGAGUAUAUGACUCGAUGAUAUGAGUUUAGUGUUGAGUCUUGUGAACGCAAGUUGAGGAGUGAUUGUUAGUUGCUUUGUGACUAGUGAUUACUUGUAGACUUCAUCAAGGACCGUUGACACUUGCUUUGCUUGAUGAUGAUUUAGCAGUGGUGGGCUUGCUUUACCGGAUGGUGUUGCAGAGGAUCGUGUCAUUAGGCUAACAUGGUUUUUCUAUGUUGGCAUGUCAAUUCCUUUGUCGAUAUCAUUUGGUUACAUUUGGUCUAUAAUGUUGGAUUUCAUUGAGUCUUGGACGUGGUGAUUCACUCCUUGAGGAAGUGUUAUCCGUGACUGAGUAUUGUUGAGAGAUUGGUCUCGGAUACUGACUAAAGUAUCUUUGACUUCGGUUAGCUUUGUUGCUGGAGAGUUUUGAGUGGUGAUUCACUCGUGCUUUCUUCUAGCUUUGUUUUGGUGUUGAUGACAUUGAAGUGAUGCCUUGUCAUUGACAUUGUUGAUGUUGAGGUAAAAUGAAAUGAGAUAUCUCUCCAUAGGAUUGAUAUUGAGUUUCAUUAGUCUUGAUGGAGAUAGUGUUGAUGGUUUGGUUGUAGCUUUAUGUUGUUGGCAUUUGUACAAUUGCUAGUUAGCAACUGUGUUGACGUUCAAAUGAACUGAGUGGCAAGUUGAGUUAGUUGUGUUCUACACAAGAUUGCUUAGUUAAGGUUAAGUUUUCGCUUUUCCUUGAAAAGUGAUUUAGUCGUGGACAAUGCUACCUCUAUGAGAGGAAGAGUUAGUGAUUGGUAUUGAAGUGUUUGAAUCCUUAUUGGAUUUGAGUUGGACUAUAUCAAUCAUUGAUGAUUCUUCUUGUGCUUGUUAUGAAGUGAGUUACGUCUUGCUAUAGAUGGAUUCAUGGAGGGUCAUUUAGUGAUCACUUGUUGAGCAUAGCUCCAUUGUGCUUAGCUUUUGGAUUGAUGCAGAAAUGCUCUUCAUUAGCUUUGGCAUUAUGAAAUUUGGCUUAUGGAUGUGUUGAAGAAGACAUUGUGGGUUGUACCAUGAUUUCUUCUUAAGCAUUGAAGUUAGCUUCUAUAAGACUCGUGAUCAUUAUUAAGUAAGACUUAGCUAUAGGCUUCUUCAAGCUUUGGUUCUUUGAGUUUUAUGCUCAUUGUUCCAUUUGUUAGAAGUUGUUGGGGAAGGCAUUUUGGCUCAUUAGCUUCGAUGUUGAAGUUGGCUUUGCAUCUGGCAAUCAUUGGUGAUGAUUGGCUAUCAUCUAGGGUAGUUAAUUGUCCUUAUCACAAGUUUUGCUUGAUUAUUGUUGGUUUAGAAUUAUUUGCUAUUCUUCGGGAUGGUAGAUUCUUUCUUAAACGAUGAUUAUACAUCACUACAUUGAUGGGCUAAUUGACGAUCUUUCAUGAUAGUUGGUUGUUUUCUUUGAUGGCUUUGGCUUUUCGUAAUACCACAUGUUCUUUGUGGUUUGCUCUGGAUUGGUCUCUUGGGUUUGAGACGUCAGUAGGAUGUUGCUGGCACUUGCUUAGGCAACUUGAGUUCCUUGGUAUUGUUGGCUGGGAUCUAUUCCGAUUGGCUAGUGCAAUAGUUGAUAUGAACAAGCGUUUGUUUGCUUUGCAAGAUUCAUUUUGUUCUGUUGAUUAUUGCUUGAGUUAGUUCUCAUAGAUUAUGAUGUUAUUUCCUUCGGGUGAGACAUUUGCGAGCAUUGUGCUGUUUAGUCAAUGAUACUUUGUGUUCUUUGAGUUGUGUUUUGUGAGUUGUUUGGCAUGCUAUCUGCCAUUUUCGGUAGUUCAG